GAAAGGGAAAAAAGAAGGGGAAAAAAUGUGAGGACUAGCUUCUGCUGAAUAUUUUAGCUGAUGAUAUCUCAUUCGUGUGGCAGACCGGUAACAGGAAAAUAAAUGACUCUCAUCCUUUUGCAGAAGACAGCAGAGGCUGGAGAUGCUCAUAAAGCACUUAGCCUGAGGCCCUCGGAUGGGAAAGAAUGGGGCUGGUUUGUGCACUAGAUAGUUGAUAUGAGCCAGGGACAGAACAACCAAGUGUGAGGAUGUGUCAAAGGCACUCUGAGAGGUGUCCAGAGAAAGCCUGCAUCCACCAUGGGUAGGUAUGGAGAUGAGG